UAUGUCUUACAUAUCGUGAUAGUCGCUUAUUUGGAGUCGGCUUUCUGCUGCAGAAAACCACCGGUUUGUGAAUUUUCAUACAUGUUUUUAUAGCAGCGUUUUUGCAAAUAUAACAGAGACCACCUUACAUACAAUACAUAAACUACAGUUACACUUCACAGACGAGGAAUUGCUGCGGAAGGUGUGUGUUGAAGAGCUAGGUGGCCCAACUAUUGUGGUUUUUAGAAAGGAAAGCUCGUAUGCGCGUAUUUCUACCAUUGUCUCAUGUGGUGCUACGGACAAUUUCAUAGGAGACAUAGAGCGUGUUGUGUAUGAUGGUGCAAAUACCUGUUUAACAUGUGACGGUUAUUAUGUGCCUAGUACUGCUACCUCUGAAAUGAAUUUGACUUCCGAACUGGCUGUCCACGUCGAUACCUUACCCCGUCUAGAACAAUUUUCUGUACGUAGAUAUAUGCGCAACACCUACACGAGCAAAUUCUCGCGCUUUAAGUCUACAAUUACAGAUAUGUUGUAAUGAUAUAUUUGUGAGUUAUUUUUAAGUUUUUGGUUUACAGGUUUUUGAUUUCUGCCUGAAGUAAGUGCAGCGUUCCAACACCUAUACGAGCA